CUUGCUCCAGCUACAUGUAUGUGGCUUUGCCUAGAAACUUCUAUAUUUUACAAUAUUAUUUUUGUGGCUAUUGUUUAGCCAUCAUGCUCCAUAUUCAUAGUUUAGCAACAUGAGUUGUUCUUGCUCUAGAGAGUUCUUCCAACUUCUUUAAUGUGAGCUCUUGAAUUCUCUAGAUUCUUCUUGAAAUCUUAAACACAAAUGUGCAUUAUUUUCAACAGUUUCUUUUUGAAGCCGGCUUUGGUUCAAGCUUCUCUUGAGUCCGAAGUGGUAUAAUUGGUGUUACUCAACCUCGUCGUGUUGCAGUCCUUGCGACUGCUAAGCGAGUGGCAUAUGAGCUUGGUCUACAUUUAGGUAAAGAGGUCAGGUUUCAAGUGCGGUAUGGCAAAAGGGUCGGUGAAAGUUGCCCCAUCAAGUUCAUGACAGAUGGAAUAUUACCACGGGAACUUCAGGUUCUUUAAGCAACUGAUCUUGUUAAUCUAUCAUAAUUUGAGCAACUAUGCAUCAAAUAAUAUCUCUCUAUUUGGGUUUCUAUUAAGGUUGGGUUCUGUUUUCAUAUUGAUACAUAUACAGUUUGG
rnacentral:lncRNA from 1 species